GCCGGCGACCGAAGCCCCGGUGAACGGCGGCCGUAACUAUAACGGUCCUAAGGUAGCGAAAUUCCUUGUCGGGUAAGUUCCGACCCGCACGAAAGGCGUAACGAUCUGGGCACUGUCUCGGAGAGAGGCUCGGUGAAAUAGACAUGUCUGUGAAGAUGCGGACUACCUGCACCUGGACAGAAAGACCCUAUGAAGCUUCGAACCCAUAUGUCGUCUUGCCAUGAGCAGAUUGUAUCCAUUGGGCAAAUAUAGGUUCGUGGAA
rnacentral:ncRNA from 1 species